UAGUGGGGGAUAACGUCCGGAAACGGGCGCUAAUACCGCAUACGUCCUGAGGGAGAAAGUGGGGGAUCUUCGGACCUCACGCUAUCAGAUGAGCCUAGGUCGGAUUAGCUAGUUGGUGGGGUAAAGGCCUACCAAGGCGACGAUCCGUAACUGGUCUGAGAGGAUGAUCAGUCACACUGGAACUGAGACACGGUCCAGACUCCUACGGGAGGCAGCAGUGGGGAAUAUUGGACAAUGGGCGAAAGCCUGAUCCAGCCAUGCCGCGUGUGUGAAGAAGGUCUUCGGAUUGUAAAGCACUUUAAGUUGGGAGGAAGGGCAGUAAGUUAAUACCUUGCUGUUUUGACGUUACCAACAGAAUAAGCACCGGCUAACUUCGUGCCAGCAGCCGCGGUAAUACGAAGGGUGCAAGCGUUAAUCGGAAUUACUGGGCGUAAAGCGCGCGUAGGUGGUUCAGCAAGUUGGAUGUGAAAUCCCCGGGCUCAACCUGGGAACUGCAUCCAAAACUACUGAGCUAGAGUACGGUAGAGGGUGGUGGAAUUUCCUGUGUAGCGGUGAAAUGCGUA
rnacentral:rRNA from 1 species